rnacentral:lncRNA from 10 species
AUUAUAAUGGAUUUGAAAUUUGCCCUAACCAAGAGUCACAGACAGAAAAAAGGAAGUUAAUGUAUCUCUUGAUCACUAUCAAGAUGUGGUAUUGAACCUUCAAGAUCCUUUUCAGGGAAUAUGUGAGAUCAAAAUUUUUAUACUGGCACUAUGAUGUUAUUUGCCUUUUCCUCAUAUUCACAAGUGAACAGUGGAGUUUUACAGAAGCUAUAUAAUGUCAUGACAUCACUGAUGGGUAAUAGAAUGUGUGCUUGUAUAUUCCGAAACUUUCAGUUCCAAUUUCUUCGAUCAAUGUAAUCCUCAUAAGUAAAAGUUAUUUGAGGACCUCAGACAUUUUUAAAAAUGUAAAGGGGGUGGGGUCAGGCUCAGUGGCUCAUGCCUGUAAUCCCAGCAUUUUGGAAGGCCGAGGCGAACGGAUCACUUGAGGCCAGGAGUUUGAAACUAGUCUGGUCAACAUGGUGAAACCCCGUCUCCACUAAAACAAAAAGUUUUCUGGAUGUGGUGGCACACAUACCUGUAAUCCCAGCUACUUUGGUGGCUGAGGCAUGAGAAUCACUUGAACCCAGAAGACAGGUUGCAGUGAGCCAAGAUUGUGCCCCUGCAUUCUAGCCUGGGUGACAGUGAGACUGUCUCAAAAAAUAAAGGUGUACAGGGAUUGUAUAUUUGACAACUUGGUAUGUAGGAUGUGCUACCUCUAAUGUUCCAUGCUGUUACUUAGUUUUCACUCACUACUAUAUUUUGGAGAUUUGUUCAUAUUGCUCUGUGUACAUUUAAUUCUUCAGUGUGUAUCCACCACAUUUAACUUAUUCACUUACAGAACUAUGCAAGAAUUUCUCUGGUAAAUUUCACUAAGUACUUAUGUACUUUUCAGAACGAUUGUGAGUUUACACCCCUACCAGCAGGACUGAGUUGAGUACCCAUUUCCUCACAUCCUUGCCAGUACUUCAUUUGCCUAAUUUUUGCCAUUCUCAUAAUGUGGCAAUUGUUCAAUUUUGCAUUUCUUCCAUUUUAUUUUUUUGCAUCUCUGCUUUUCUUUUGGUUAGCUUUGCCAGUUCUGCCUAUUAUAUUAAUCUCCCAGAAUCAGCUUUUAGUUUUGUUAAAUCUCUGACAUGUUUCGUUGAUUCCUGCUUUCAUCUUAAACAUUUCUUCGUUGUUAAUUUGUGUUUGCUAUAAAAUAAGCAACAUCUUAAAUGCUUGAUUUGCUUUCGAUGUUUAUUCUGUAAUAAGAUAUUUAAAGAUAUAAUUUUUUCCCUAAAUGCUUUAUUAGACUUUUCUCAUAAGUUUUGACUGGUACUGUUUUCAUUGUUAUUUAAUUUUGUGUUUUUUAACUUCUUUCAUGAUUUCCUUUUAACUGAAGGUUUUCUUAGAUAUUUAGUUUGCUGGUAUAUUCUUUUAAAAUUGUAUCAUUGCUUUCUUUCUAUAUUGGAUUAUUGUCAGAGAACAUGAUUUGCAUGAUAUUAACUUUUUGGAGUAUAUUGUUGCAUCUUUGUGGCCUAGUACAUAGUUAAUUUAGUGAAUGCUUCCAGUUGUACUUGAAAAGAAUGUAUAUUUUCUGAUUAUUGAGGGUAAAUUUCUCUAUAUAUGUUUUCCUGUUUAAUAAAUAUGUAGCUAUGUGCUU